CAGAAAGUAGUUUAUUUAAAAAUGCCGGCUUUGGGAGCCGGAGAGGGGGGUUUGAGUCCCCUCUUUCUGA
rnacentral:tRNA from 1 species